UACAGAGGAGCCAAGCGUUGUCCGGAUUGACUGGGCGUAAAGCGCACGCAGGCGGAUGCGCGCGUGGGGUGUGAAAUCUGGCCGCUUAACGGCCAGGCGCCAUCCCAUACGGCGCGUCUGGAGUGAUGCAGAGGUCGAUGGAAUUGCCGGUGUAGUGGUGAAAUGCGUAGAGAUCGGCAGGAACACCCAGGGGGAAACCAGUCGACUGGGCAUCUACUGACGCUGAGGUGCGAGAGCGUGGGGAGCGAACCGGG
rnacentral:rRNA from 1 species